rnacentral:rRNA from 1 species
AACACAUGCAAGUCGAACGGUAACAUUUCUAGCUUGCUAGAAGAUGACGAGUGGCGGACGGGUGAGUAAUGCUUGGGAACUUGCCUUUGCGAGGGGGAUAACAGUUGGAAACGACUGCUAAUACCGCAUAAUGUCUACGGACCAAACGGGGCUUCGGCUCCGGCGCAAAGAGAGGCCCAAGUGAGAUUAGCUAGUUGGUAAGGUAACGGCUUACCAAGGCGACGAUCUCUAGCUGUUCUGAGAGGAAGAUCAGCCACACUGGGACUGAGACACGGCCCAGACUCCUACGGGAGGCAGCAGUGGGGAAUAUUGCACAAUGGGGGAAACCCUGAUGCAGCCAUGCCGCGUGUGUGAAGAAGGCCUUCGGGUUGUAAAGCACUUUCAGUUGUGAGGAAAAGUUAGUAGUUAAUACCUGCUAGCCGUGACGUUAACAACAGAAGAAGCACCGGCUAACUCCGUGCCAGCAGCCGCGGUAAUACGGAGGGUGCGAGCGUUAAUCGGAAUUACUGGGCGUAAAGCGCACGCAGGCGGUUUGUUAAGCUAGAUGUGAAAGCCCCGGGCUCAACCUGGGAUGGUCAUUUA